AUUGAACGCUGGCGGCAUGCCUUACACAUGCAAGUCGAACGGUAACAGGUCUUCGGAUGCUGACGAGUGGCGAACGGGUGCGUAAUGCAUCGGAACGUGCCCAGUAGUGGGGGAUAGCACGGCGAAAGCCGGAUUAAUACCGCAUACGACCUGAGGGUGAAAGGGGGGGAUCGCAAGACCUCUCGCUAUUGGAGCGGCCGAUGUCAGAUUAGCUAGUUGGUGGGGUAAAGGCCUACCAAGGCAACGAUCUGUAGUUGGUCUGAAAGGACGACCAGACACACUGGGACUGUGACACGGCCCAGACUCCUACGGGAGGCAGCAGUGGGGAAUUUUGGACAAUGGGCGCAAGCCUGAUCCAGCAAUGCCGCGUGCAGGAAGAAGGCCUUCGGGUUGUAAACUGCUUUUGUCAGGGAAGAAACCUUCUGGGUUAAUACCUCGGGAGGAUGACGGUACCUGAAGAAUAAGCACCGGCUAACUACGUGCCAGCAGCCGCCGCAGUAA
rnacentral:rRNA from 1 species